AUUGAACGCUGGCGGCAGGCUUAACACAUGCAGGUCGAGCGGAGAUGAGGUGCUUGCACCUUAUCUUAGCGGCGGACGGGUGAGUAAUGCUUAGGAAUCUGCCUAUUAGUGGGGGACAACAUUCCGAAAGGAAUGCUAAUACCGCGUACGUCCUACGGGAGAAAGCAGGGGAUCUUCGGACCUUGCGCUAAUAGAUGAGCCUAAGUCGGAUUAGCUAGUUGGUGGGGUAAAGGCCUACCAAGGCGACGAUCUGUAGCGGGUCUGAGAGGAUGAUCCGCCACACUGGGACUGAGACACGGCCCAGACUCCUACGGGAGGCAGCAGUGGGGAAUAUUGGACAAUGGGGGGAACCCUGAUCCAGCCAUGCCGCGUGUGUGAAGAAGGCCUUAUGGUUGUAAAGCACUUUAAGCGAGGAGGAGGCUACUGAGACUAAUACUCUUGGAUAGUGGACGUUACUCGCAGAAUAAGCACCGGCUAACUCUGUGCCAGCCGCCGCGGUAA
rnacentral:rRNA from 1 species